CCUGAACGGAGCUGUCUUCCUCCGUGGGAGCUGUAGGUGCACUCCGAGGCGCAUUCUUCCCUGGCACUCCUUGGUCUCAAUCCAUGUCCAUCGUUCGCAGAAUGAAUCGUGUACCAGCGGUGGCGCAACGUGGCUUCAUCGUGACACCACGUGUGUACGUAUGCUGCCAUUCUUUGGCUACAUAGCUUAUCGCACGUGAUGCUUGUUAUCCCUGUCCUACUAAAAACUCGUGUACCCGACAGCUCGCCGGUCGCAGAUGACGUCGAUUGAACCUGCCGGCGUUAGUUGAAGCAGCGACUGAACGCUCCUGUUAAGAGCAUGCGAUGAGCUGUGCCUUCCUCAUUUCAAAAGGCAGUUCUUUCAGACAAAUUUGGGAUGUCUGCAGGCAGUGCUUCUUGGAUUUGGUCCUAUCAAACAGGUUUGCUUAAGCUGCCUUUGAAGCGUUCUGAUUGCCAAUAGUGAAUCUGCACUAGUGGAUGAGACAUCCCGGCUGCGGCGGCUGCAUUUGCGAUGGAGGCGGAAAUGUUGUAGGCCCGUGUGCUCAGAUUUGGGUGCACGUUAAAGAACCCCAGGUGGUCGAAAUUUCCGGAGCCCUCCACCACGGCGUCUCAUAAUCAUAUGGUGGUUUUGGGACGUUAAACCCCACAUAUCAACAACUGGUGGAUGAGACUUGGUCCCAUUGAAAGGUUUGCCUGAGCGGCCCUUGAAAGUGUCACGAUCAGCCAAUAGUGAAUCGGCACUGGUGAAUGCAACUCCUGGUCCCAUUGAAAGGUCUGCUUGGUGUGCCCCUGAACUGUUGGACAGUUGCUUCAAACAUUGCUAUAUGGGUGCUGUUCCCUAGCUCGUCUGCUGUUGUAGGUGCUGUUCCCUAGCUCGUCUGCUGUUGUAGGUGCUGUUCCCUAGCUCGUCUGCUGUUGUAGGUGCUGUUCCCUAGCUCAUCUGCUGUUGUAGGUGCUGUUCCCUAGCUCAUCUGCUGUUGUAGGUCAUGCCAGGUGCACUUGGAUUAUGGCAAGCACUGCUGUGGAUGGUGAACAAUGCCUGGAGACAAUGUUCGACCUCUUCUGGUGUUCAGUUGUCGGAAAAAAUUCCAAGAUAUCGUCGGCCCAAGAACAUUCGAAUCUCAAAUAAAAGAUUUUCCGAUUGAA